CUCGCUAUGUACGCCCGUCGCUACUGCUUCCUGCACCGCAUCCGCCACACUACACUGCGCAGGGCAUGGAGUUACAUCAGCAGCAGCAGCAACACUGCUGCGAGGCCUCAACUGCCGAUGAGGCAGUGGAGGGAGACGGGCAGAGCCGAACGGACGCUGCCGAGCACCACCCCAGCGUUCGCUUCUACCGUGGCAUGUGGAGCCUCACUCAACUAACGGAUCCUGUCUUCGACGACGUCAUCUCGAGUACCGACGGUAGCAACGGCGACAAGGCUGUCUCUGCUCCGGCAUCCGCAACGCCAGCUGAGGUGACUACCGGCAGCCCCUCGCUGCUGUCUCACGGCUCGCCACUCUCGGUGGUCGGCCUGCACCAGGCACUUCUCCCCCCAGCAGCCGUGAACGGGCUGGGCGAUGUGGCGGACGAGAACUACGCAUUGCAGCUAGCGUCGUCUGACGGGCUUGAGUUUCUGCGCCUCCACUGGCACGUGCUACUACCUUUGCUCUUCCCUUGUUGCCGCUGGGGUGACGAGGCGGGCGCGACUGACCCCGCCGUCUUGUGUUUUGGCCAAGACAACAGCAGCAGCAAGUGUAGCUCGCACGUGCAGCAAGACUUUUCCGGCUCCGAGGAAGGGGCAUCAGCCCCUUUUGAGAGUUCCUGCUCUGCCUCCGAGUUGUACGAGCUGCUGCUCCGCCGCCCCCUACUGGAGAGCGAUCUCGCCAUUGUCCGAGAACCUGGACUGAUGGAUCGUAUCUACUACAGCUAUGUGGUACUGCUCCGCUUCUUCGGAUGGCGCGUGCACGAGGAGGAGCGUGGUGUGCUGGACCGUCAUCGUGCCUGGCAGGAGCGGUACGCGCUGCUCGAGCUCUACCGGAUGCCCACCACCGCCGCCGCAACUACCCAGCUUGCCACAGGCCCAACUGCUGCAGGGACGCGCAGCCAUGUCGACGGCGACGACGUCAAGGGCAACAGCGUUUAUCAAGUGCGACGUGCUUGCCCGCCGCCACCUCCCACUUACCACUCCUUCAACUUUUACGAGUCGGGCGUUCCACGUGUGCUGCGCAGCCUUCUCGACAUUGGCUUUCUGCGCCUGGCUGUGCGGCUUGUGGAGUUUCUCUUGGAGGAGAUGGGUUACGGCCGUCUUCUGUUCCUGCUGCCGCUGGUUGAGGCCACCUUGCUGCCGAUACUCGUUCAGCAGCCGCACGUCGAGUCAAGCCACAAGACGCGGCUAAAGAAACGCCUGUACAGGCUCACUCACAGUGACUCGGAUUAGUGAGAGCGGGGUAGGGCCGCAGCCAUUCUCGGAUCGCGGGCGAGAGAGCGGCAUUAUUCGGAUUGCCCAUGCGCAGACUGCUGGAAUUCUCUGUGCACGUGUGCCUGCCCUUGGGUGCUCUGCUCACUCAUCCUGAUCUCUUUUUGGCCCCACAGCUGCAGCCAACGACCGUGCCAUGAACGCGGCGGUGCUGCACAGUAUGCGCGCAUGUGUUGUUGCGCACACACACGCAGAACAAGACGAAAAUGCCACAGCACUUGACGUUGGAGACGACGGGCACAGGAAUGGCCGCACGUGUGUGCGUGUGCGCAUUGAGGCGUUGUGUGAGCCACCGGUAGCGAAAGCUCCAUCACGCUUUCCUGUAUACGUGUGUGUGUGUGUGUGAAGGUCGGUGCUGUUUCCCACUCUUUGUGCAAGGCGGGAGAGGUAGGGGGAGGGAUGUGACGGGGGUGCUGACUCCCGGGCGUAGGAAUGUUGGCGUCGGGCGUUUCAUCGGGGUGGAGGGGGGGGCGCCAGAAUGGCGUCGUGACGUUGCGCUACUCGGCAUCUAUUCCUCUGCUUCUCGCCUCAUGCCGCAUCGCUGACUACACUUCUUCUCAUGGCUCUUCCCCACUCCCCCGCCUCUUCGGCCGCGAGCACAAACGCAGGCACAGCCAUGCCCGCCGGUAUGCAUUCAUCUGCUACUUACUCGUGCACAUGCCUUCUCUCUCGUCCUUCUUUGUGCGUGCGUGUAUGUGUGAGGAGGCGCUUCACCACAUACACGCGCACGCACACCAGUUACGAGACGGGCAGGCUCACAACGCAGCGCGCGAAGACACACGUUUGUAUCCCUACAAGCAAAGACCUUCUUUCUCAGUCUUCAGCUGCCCCUCCCCCUCCAUCUCCGUGCUUGUCUUGCAG
rnacentral:misc_RNA from 1 species